rnacentral:rRNA from 1 species
AACGAACGCUGGCGGCAUGCCUAACACAUGCAAGUCGAACGAGACCUCCGGGUCUAGUGGCGCACGGGUGCGUAACGCGUGGGAACCUGCCCUUAGGUUCGGAAUACCUCCCCGAAAGGGGUGCUAUUACCGGAUAAUCUCUUCGGACCAAAGAUUUAUCGCCUUUGGAUGGGCCCGCGUUGGAUUAGUUAGUUGGUAGGGUAAAAGCAUACUAAGGCGACGAUCCAUAGCUGGUCUGAGAGGAUGAUCAGCCACACUGGGACUAAGACACGGCCCAGACUCCUACGGGAGGGAGCAGUGGGGAAUAUUGGACAAUGGGCGAAAGCAUGAUCCAGCAAUGCCGGGUAAGUGAUGAAGGCCUUAGGGUUGUAAAGCUCUUUUACCCGGGAUGAUAAUGACAGUACCGGGAGAAUAAGCUCCGGCUAACUCCGUG